rnacentral:misc_RNA from 1 species
GAAAGGAUUCACCAUGCUUUUGUGAGCACUAGUUAUCCGUAAAUUCAAUAAUAGAGAUGGGUCGCUCAUAUUUGAAAGGGAGGACAUGAAUUUGAACUAAUGGAAUGAGAAUAGUAGGUUAUGGCUGAGAGGCAUAAUUAAAAAGUGUUUAUACUUAAAUUCUAAUUCAUCUAAGUCAGAGCUUGACUCUUUAGAGGAGUUUUCAGUAUUAGUUGUUAUUCCUUCAAGAGCAAAAACAAUUUCCUUGUUUGCAUCUUUUUGUUUUGAAAAUAGGGACUUGAUA